rnacentral:rRNA from 1 species
AUUGAACGCUGGCGGCAGGCUUAACACAUGCAAGUCGAGCGGGGAUAGGGUGCUUGCACCUGAUUCCUAGCGGCGGACGGGUGAGUAAUGCUUAGGAAUCUGCCUAUUAGUGGGGGACAACAUUCCGAAAGGGAUGCUAAUACCGCAUACGCCCUACGGGGGAAAGCAGGGGAUCUUCGGACCUUGCGCUAAUAGAUGAGCCUAAGUCGGAUUAGCUAGUUGGUGGGGUAAAGGACUACCAAGGCGACGAUCUGUAGCGGGUCUGAGAGGAUGAUCCGCCACACUGGGACUGAGACACGGCCCAGACUCCUACGGGAGGCAGCAGUGGGGAAUAUUGGACAAUGGGGGGAACCCUGAUCCAGCCAUGCCGCGUGUGUGAAGAAGGCCUUUUGGUUGUAAAGCACUUUAAGCGAGGAGGAGGCGCUCUAGGUUAAUACCCUAGAUGCGUGGACGUUACUCGCAGAAUAAGCACCGGCUAACUCUGUGCCAGCCGCCGCGGUAAAAC